GUGUAUCGGAUGGAACCGAGGGCCACAUCCUCUCAUAGAAAAUUACAAACUUCAGAAAAGUUGAAGGAACAGAAAUAUGAAUUAUCCUUGAACUCAGAGGCUGGGACCCCUUCUCGUCCUGGGAGUGAACCACACAGUCU